rnacentral:rRNA from 1 species
CCUACGGAAGGCUGCAGUGAGGAAUAUUGGUCAAUGGGCGGAAGCCUGAACCAGCCAAGUAGCGUGUAGGAUGACGGCCCUACGGGUUGUAAACUGCUUUUAUACGGGAAUAACGCGCCUUACGUGUAGGGCUUUGCAUGUACCGUAUGAAUAAGGACCGGCUAAUUCCGUGCCAGCAGCCGCGGUAAUACGGAAGGUCCGGGCGUUAUCCGGAUUUAUUGGGUUUAAAGGGAGCGUAGGCCGCAUGUCAAGCGUGCUGUGAAAUGUCCGGGCUCAACCCGGGCCUUGCAGCGCGAACUGGCGUGCUUGAGUCCGCGGAAAGCAGGCGGAAUUCGUCGUGUAGCGGUGAAAUGCUUAGAUAUGACGAAGAACCCCGAUUGCGAAGGCAGCUUGCUGCAGCGGAACUGACGCUGAUGCUCGAAAGCGCGGGUAUCGAACAGGAUUAGAUACCCUUGUAGUC